rnacentral:rRNA from 1 species
CCUACGGGCGGCAGCAGUGGGGAAUAUUGCACAAUGGGGGAAACCCUGAUGCAGCGACGCCGCGUGAGUGAAGAAGUAUUUCGGUACGUAAAGCUCUAUCAGCAGGGAAGAAAAUGACGGUACCUGACUAAGAAGCCCCGGCUAACUACGUGCCAGCAGCCGCGGUAAUACGUAGGGGGCAAGCGUUAUCCGGAUUUACUGGGUGUAAAGGGAGCGUAGACGGCAGCGCAAGUCUGGAGUGAAAUCGCAUGGCUUAACCAUGGAACUGCUUUGGAAACUGUGCAGCUGGAGUGCAGGAGAGGUAAGCGGAAUUCCUAGUGUAGCGGUGAAAUGCGUAGAUAUUAGGAGGAACACCAGUGGCGAAGGCGGGUUACUGGACUGUAACUGACGUUGAGGCUCGAAAGCGUGGGGAGCAAACAGGAUUAGAUACCCGUGUAGUC